rnacentral:rRNA from 1 species
UUCACUCUUUAACAGGAGGGAAGAAUUUGGGUAAGGCAAUAGAUGUAAGGGACGAGAAUCGUAUUGGAGAGGUCAGCAUCAGUUACGAAGGAAAGAUUAGGGGUGCAGAAGGUAGGUCCCUUGUGGGCUGCUUUAUAGAUGCAUCAUUUUAUCUACUUUUCUUUGUGACUGAGGUGUACUUUUUUGCAUGGAAUUUUCGGGCUACACUCUCUCUCUUUUGAGUGAGUACUCGAGUUCUGUGAUGCUGGCUGAAACGGUUUCAACCGACCCGUCUUGAAACACGGACCAAGGAGUCUAACAUAUGUGCGAGUAUGCGGGUGGCAAACCUGUAUGCGAAAUGAAAGUAAGAGUAGGGAAGAGGGUAACAUCUUUUUAAGGGAUGUUAUGCUCUGCACCUACGACCGACCACGAUCUCAGAGAGAGGUUUGAGUUGGAGCAUAUCUGUUAGGACCCGAAAGAUGGUGAACUAUGCCUGGGUAGAAUGAAGUCAGGGGAAACCCUGAUGGAGGUUCGUAGCGAUACUGACGUGCAAAUCGUUCGUCAAACUUGGGUAU